rnacentral:rRNA from 1 species
AUACGGAGGAUCCGAGCGUUAUCCGGAUUUAUUGGGUUUAAAGGGAGCGUAGAUGGAUGUUUAAGUCAGUUGUGAAAGUUUGCGGCUCAACCGUAAAAUUGCAGUUGAUACUGGAUAUCUUGAGUGCAGUUGAGGCAGGCGGAAUUCGUGGUGUAGCGGUGAAAUGCUUAGAUAUCACGAAGAACUCCGAUUGCGAAGGCAGCCUGCUAAGCUGCAACUGACAUUGAGGCUCGAAAGUGUGGGUAUCAAACAGGAUUAGAUACCCUAGUAGUCCACACGGUAAACGAUGAAUACUCGCUGUUUGCGAUAUACUGCAAGCGGCCAAGCGAAAGCGUUAAGUAUUCCACCUGGGGAGUACGCCGGCAACGGUGAAACUCAAAUGAAUUGACGGGG